GAUGAAGAACGUAGCGAAAUGCGAUAAGUAGUGUGAAUUGCAGAAUUCAGUGAAUCAUCGAAUCUUUGAACGCACAUUGCGCCCCUUGGUAUUCCAUGGGGCAUGCCUGUUCGAGCGUCAUUUGUACCCUCAAGCUAUGCUUGGUGUUGGGUGUUUGUCCUCUCCUUUGCGAUUGGACUCGCCUUAAAGACAUUGGCAGCCAGUGUAUUGGUCUUGAGGCGCAGCACAUUUUGCGAUUCUUGCUGAUAAUCACUAGCGUCCAGUAAGCCUAUUUUAACACUUUUGACCUCGGAUCAGGUAGGGAUACCCGCUGAACUUAAGCAUAUCAAUAAGCGGAGGA
rnacentral:misc_RNA from 1 species